CUACGGAGGAUGCAAGCGUUAUCCGGAUUUAUUGGGUUUAAAGGGUGCGUAGGCGGUUUGCUAAGCGGGAGGUGAAAUGCCGGCGCUCAACGUCGGAAGUGCCUCCCGAACUGGUGGACUUGAAUGACUCUGCCGUGGGAGGAAUGUGAAGUGGUGCGGUGAAAUGCUUAGAGAUUACACAGAACACCGAUUGCGAAGGCAUCUCACGAAGGGUUGAUUGACGCUGAGGCACGAAAGCGUGGGGAUCAAACAGGAUUAGAUACCCUGGUAGUCCACGCAGUAAACGAUGAUGGCUAACCGCUGGGCUUAUCAGUUCAGUGGCCAAGCGAAAGCGAUAAGCCAUCCACCUGGGGAGUACGACCGCAAGGUUGAAACUCAAAUGAAUUGGCGGGG
rnacentral:rRNA from 1 species